rnacentral:lncRNA from 1 species
UCAGGGGACUAUGGCUGGCUUGCUGAGACUAAUUGACUUAGAUCUGUACACUGCUGUCCAUGUUGUCUAUUGUGACAUCAGAGACAUAGAAUGAAGAAGGCCCUUUUUCUUUUUUCUUUUUCUUUUCUCUUUUUUCUCUCUGUCCCUUCUUUUUCUCCAUUUCUCUCCCCUUUUGUUCUUAUUCCUGUCCUAUUUCAGAUUUUUUUCUCUCUCUUUCCUUCUCUGGAUUGUCAUUAUUUUUAUAGGAAGGGCAUCAUCUCAGUUCUGGACACUGCUGUGGAUUUGUUGGUCAUCGCUGGUGAGGUUGGUCACUCAGGUGCAGCUGGCUCAUCGCUCUCAGCUGGGGUGCUAUCACCCAUUCUCUGAGAUGUUGAUGGUUCCACCAGCGUGACCCAUGGUCUCACAUUCCGGGAAAGCAGCCACAAGGUUUCAUCAUUAUCUGUCAGGACACAGGCAAAACCUCUCUCCCAAGUUAUUAAGGUAGCAGAGCCAUUCCACUUACCUGUUUGGACAUCUUUUCAAAGGACUUGUGGUCUUUUGAAAGUCUUAGUCAUGGCAUCUGCAUGCCAAUGGAGCAUAGCAGGCGGUUGUGUGAAGCCUGCUACAGGCAUCAAAAAAUUAAGUACAAAACCAGCUAGAUCUAAAUGGGCUUGUGGAGGUAGCUUAUUUCCUUGUGAUUGUUUAAGCAAUUGAUAUUUGAGGGUGGCAUGGGCUCUUUCUACUAUGGCUUAUCCUUGGGGAUUAUACGGGAUACCCGUACUGUGCUUAACAAGCCAAAUAAGAAAGAAUUUUUUGGAUAAAUUUAUUAACACAUGAUGGACCAUU